UAAACCAAAGCCUCCACCUACACUUAGC
rnacentral:sRNA from 1 species